rnacentral:tmRNA from 1 species
GGGGGUGACAUGAUUUCGACGUGGGUUACAAAGUCUGAGGAGCAUGCCGAGGGGCAGAAUACCUCGUAAAUAUAGCUGCACAAUUAAGAUAGUCGCCAACGACGAAGCUUACGCCCUAGCUGCUUAAAGCCAGCUAGCCUCUGACUGAGUACGUGCUUGUGCGCUCAUGUUUGUGUCAAAGCAAACUUUCAGGGGUCAACCUCUCACAAGAUCGCGGUGACAUAUGUCUGGGCUUGAUCCGCUAAACUUUACCAGACUCACCGUAAGUUUGUCCUGCCAAUCGGCGGAUUUGCGGUUAAAUUAAAGAUAUGGCUAAGCAUGUAGAACCAAAGCCGGAGGACUUGCGGACGCGGGUUUGAUUCCCGCCGCCUCCACCA